AUGGCCGGAUCCAUGGGCCUGACGCCUGGAUCUGUGGGCUGGCGGUGGUUGCAGGGAGAUGGAGAUGGUGCGGUGGGGUGGCUGGAUAUUCCCCUUUUGGCGGCUGGUUCUUGCUGCUCCGCGAGAGGGCGCUGGAUCUGGACGCCGGAUGCUUCAGUGCGACGUGGAGUUGGUUCCAGCCUCUGGUGGCUCGCCGGUGGUUGGGCCAUGGGCGGCGGCGGGGCUGCCAUGGCCCUCUUCGUCGGCUGGUGCAGGCAUGAAGGUGGUGGGCCCAGCAAGGAGUAUGGGGGUUCAGCAGGACAUCCUUGCAGGAGCAGUCGAGAAGAGGAUUCCAUCGGCGUCGCAUUCAAGCAGUUGAGUACUUGA
rnacentral:rRNA from 1 species